AACGCUGGCGGCAGGCCUAACACAUGCAAGUCGAGCGAACCCUUCGGGGUUAGCGGCGGACGGGUUAGUAACGCGUGGGAAUAUACCCUUUGGUACGGAAUAGCCUCCGGGAAACUGAGAGUAAUACCGUAUGUGCCCUUCGGGGGAAAGAUUUAUCGCCAAAGGAUUAGCCCGCGUUGGAUUAGAUAGUUGGUGGGGUAAUGGCCUACCAAGUCUACGAUCCAUAGCUGGUUUGAGAGGAUGAUCAGCAACACUGGGACUGAGACACGGCCCAGACUCCUACGGGAGGCAGCAGUGGGGAAUCUUAGACAAUGGGCGCAAGCCUGAUCUAGCCAUGCCGCGUGGACGACGAAGGCCUUAGGGUUGUAAAGUCCUUUCAGAUGGGAAGAUAAUGACGGUACCAUCAGAAGAAGCCCCGGCUAACUCCGUG
rnacentral:rRNA from 1 species